CUUUAUUUUAGUACGGCUUAUAGACUCACUUGGAGUUGACCAGGAUUGAUUUUGGCAGGGAGGUACAUCCUCUCCCUGCUUUCUGAAGGUGCCAUUGUGUGUGGAAAUGGAGAGAUGGUCUCGGCUUUGGCGGUGCAGGCACCUGGAAAGAUGCUCAGUUUCACUCUGAGAAGCUUCGGUCAGUGCUGGUUACCUGUCUAUUUAGAAGCAAA
rnacentral:lncRNA from 1 species